rnacentral:lncRNA from 1 species
GCCCCCUUCCUAUUGUAGCAAGAUUUUAUGAUUGAGAGUGAUGAAGUGGUCCCCUCCCUUCACCACUUCUAAGUUCUUUAGGUUCACUAUCCCCUUACCCUAAGGCAGUAAAUGCCUUCUAAUACAUAUGGAUAGGGGCCCCAAAAAAAGAUUCCCAACUUCGGUCGAGUAGAAUCUCAAUAAUGCAUAUGGACAGUGUCCUCAAAAAUAAACAAUUUCACACAAAUCCGAAAUCAAAAUUGACUAUAAAACCUAGGAAAUCAUAUACAUUAUCAAGUAUAAACAGAUUGAAAGCAUGAAAACACAAAAAAUCUACUGUUAUCAAUCACAAACAACUUUAAACGGCAAUCUCUUUCAAGCAUAAACACAAGAAAUUUCAAAAUCUACCUCUUGAAAUACAAACCUCCAGAUAGUUAAAAAGAAUUCAGUGCAUUUUGAUCAUUAUUCCUUUUUCGUUGAUACUAUUAAAACAGAGACAAACGGCUAGAGCUCUUUGCAAUAUUUAUAAAGUUUUGGGAUCCAUUUUAAAAUUUUUUUCAUUUGGGGUCGAAGUGUAAAUGGGUCAAACUUUAAGGGUCUCUCCAUAAUUUUCUCUAAUAUAUAUG